rnacentral:rRNA from 1 species
CAGUAGCCGCGGUAAAACGGGGGGGGCAAGUGUUAUUCGGAAUGACUGGGCGUAAAGGGCACGUAGGCGGUGAAAAGGGUGGAAAGUGAAAGUCGCCAAAACACUGGCGGGGUGCUUUCUUGACCAUUUCACUUGAGUGAGAUAGGGGAGAGUGGAAUUUCGUGUGGAGGGAUCAAAUCCUAAGAUAUACGAAGGAACGCCAACCGCGAAGGCAGCUCUCUGGGUCCCCACUGACGCUGGGGUGCGAAAGCAUGGGGAGCAAACAGGAUCAGAGACCCCAGUAGUCCCUGUCUCUUAUACC